UGAGGAAUAUUGGUCAAUGGACGCAAGUCUGAACCAGCCAAGUAGCGUGCAGGAUGACGGCCCUAUGGGUUGUAAACUGCUUUUAUAUGGGGAUAAAGUGGGGAACGUGUUCCCUUUUGCAGGUACCAUAUGAAUAAGGACCGGCUAAUUCCGUGCCAGCAGCCGCGGUAAUACGGAAGGUUCGGGCGUUAUCCGGAUUUAUUGGGUUUAAAGGGAGCGUAGGCCGUUUGGUAAGCGUGUUGUGAAAUGUAGGAGCUCAACUUCUAGAUUGCAGCGCGAACUGUCAGACUUGAGUGCGCACAACGUAGGCGGAAUUCAUGGGGUAGCGGUGAAAUGCUUAGAUAUCAUGAAGAACUCCGAUUGCGAAGGCAGCUUACGGGAGCGAAACUGACGCUGAAGCUCGAAGGUGCGGGUAUCGAACAGG
rnacentral:rRNA from 1 species